UGGUUGCACCUCGUCAGUGGUUGGAGGCUGGGCACGUAGCUUUGCUUGUUCCCUGCGAGUAGCAACGAAACGAUUGAGCUCACCCAACGCAGGUCUUAGCAGAGGGAAAGAGGCCACCGUACCACACGCAGCAACGAAGGGAUCUCAAAGAACUCAUCCACGGUCACCUUGGCCAGCUUCAUCAAAUCCAUGGAAGACUGAGCGUAGGGCUCGUUCUUCGACCUCGGCAUCCAGCUCUGCAAGCAACAACGUAUCCCUCAAGCAAUCAACAUCACACGAUGCUUGCUGUCGGUCUCAGUCUUGAGGAGGCCUGCGACAAUGGAAUCCACAUCAUACGGGACCAUCUCCCUCACCACCCCCUUCCCUCCGUCUUCGCAGUCGGCGGAGUCCUCGACGACCAUCUGCACCAGCAGCUUCUCCAACUUGCCGGCGGAU